GAUGAACGCUGGCGGCGUGCUUAACACAUGCAAGUCGAACGAAGCACUUUAUUUGAUUUCCUUCGGGACUGAUUAUUUUGUGACUGAGUGGCGGACGGGUGAGUAACGCGUGGGUAACCUGCCUUGUACAGGGGGAUAACAGUUGGAAACGGCUGCUAAUACCGCAUAAGCGCACGGCAUCGCAUGAUGCAGUGUGAAAAACUCCGGUGGUAUAAGAUGGACCCGCGUUGGAUUAGCUAGUUGGUGAGGUAACGGCCCACCAAGGCGACGAUCCAUAGCCGACCUGAGAGGGUGACCGGCCACAUUGGGACUGAGACACGGCCCAAACUCCUACGGGAGGCAGCAGUGGGGAAUAUUGCAAAAUGGGCGAAAGCCUGAUGCAGCGACGCCGCGUGAGCGAAGAAGUAUUUCGGUAUGUAAAGCUCUAUCAGCAGGGAAGAUAAUGACGGUACCUGACGAAGAAGCACCGGCUAAAUACGUG
rnacentral:rRNA from 1 species